CCGGUGACUGAGCUCCUGCACCACAGCUAUUUCUAAAUUAUGUCUCCUGAUCCCAGGUCCUUUAAUCCACAGUGCUGGUACCACUAAUACACAGAAUUUUCCAAUGGGUCGUGUUUGCUAAGCCCCUGUCCCCACCUCUUGUCAGUAUACUGUACUUAUACAUGUCACUACCAGAAAGUCUACCAGAUUAUAUGCCUGUUAGUGUUGUCAGACUCUGAUGGCUAUUUUUAAAUGUCUAGAAUAUCACAAUCAAUUUCAUUCAUUCAAUAUUUUUAGUAGCCACAACUGUAGUUUUUUUAGAUCUCUUGAUGAAACCUCAGCUUAGAUUUUUCCCUAAAAAGCCAAACCGCAAUCCUUAUUCUCUGCAGCUCUUUGGACAGAAUAGAGAGCCGGCUGUUGUUCUUCAAUCAUUUUAAUUCUAGCCAUUUUGCCUAGAUGACACUGCCAUAAAUGCAGGUAGACAAAAUGUAACACUUUAACCUCAGGCAGACAUUGUAGUUAGGUGUACCUAAUAAACUGCAUGUGUGACAGGGCCAGAAAAUGGCAGACUACUUUUUAUGUUUCUGGUGUGUUUUAAUUUGUUUGCUGUGCCUUUUUAACUUUUUUUAGUGUGUUAUUUGUGUUUUUAUUGCAUGUGGUGUGUUUUAAUGCAUGUGUGUUUUUUGAAGUUUUUACUUACUGACUGGACUGCCCUUAAACUUCUCACCACUACUGAUCACAUGCUUAUGAGCAACAGGUGUGGCAGCUGACGACCGAUUGGACAGGACUCCUUUUUUAAAUGAAGCAACGGCAGUAGUAAAAAGGGGGGGCGGCAAGGAUGUAGGCCGGUAUGGAACGUGACGGCGGGGAGGCCGGAGGAGCUGGAGGUCCGGCGGAGAAAAAAAGGGAGAGCAGUAGGGAAAGUCGGCCAGCUCGUUGGGCGCUGAGCAGGGGGGCAUCGAGCAGGAGGACUGUAGCUAGGAGAGACCUGUGGGGAAGCAAUUGAUUUGGACGGAACCGGCGCGGCAGCCGAGACGACGCAGCAGCGGCUAUCGUGAGAGUAGUCGCUAUAGAGGCCUGCAAGGAGACGCCGGGCUGAUUCGGGCAGAGCCAGGAGCAACGCGAGUAGACGACCGCAGCAGCCAGUGUCCGCCAACGCGCUUCCACUCAGGCCUGGGCGAACAGUACGACUGUCGCCCGCGGAAACCUGCUUCGUCUGUUGUAGGAAACCGACGAGCGGCGAGGACUGCGGAGCAGGCGGAGCGACCCGUGGAGCUGCCGGGCCGUGGGACGGAGGAUUCCCCAGAGGGACUGUUUGCCGUGCCGGGAGCUGUCAAAUCACGAAACAUUUCUUAUUUUGCUUUUGGUUUUUUUAUGUGGCAUCACAUGGGUUUUAGUUAAGCUGUUUUAAACUUAUAAACAUUUUUUAAUUGUAAUAAAUUGUUAACAUUUA